AAAGGUUUAGGAAUCUUCAGGUGAAGAUUCCAUGUCAGAGAGAGGACACAGAGUAAGAAGAAAACAGGAGCAUCAUCAUUAAACAAAUUGAAAAGUGACAGAUGAUGGACUGACCCAAGGAGGAAGACCCUGCCUACCAGGCCCAAAGUAGGCAUGCAAAUGGAGAAUUCACACUUGCAAAUGGUGCUCAAGAUCCACCAUAUUGACUUCUUUAAAGGAAAUAAAAUGUAGCACUGUGCCCCAGAAA